ACUCCCUUUCUGGAAACAGCAAUCGGGGCGGGCUCCCAGCCCCUCACAGAAAGGGAGCAUUCCCAAUCCAACAUCAAAAUCUGCAGGCUGUCCCUCCACCAACUCCAAGCCCUCCAUCUUGGAGCUUUCCCCAGCUACAGCAGAGAGUGCAGCAGUAGACCUCGCUGCCAGUGCUGAGUGUACUGGAGUUUUAAUGUCAAUUGUGAUGGACAUAGUGGUGCACUACUGCGAUCCUUCUUCAGGAAUGCAGGACUUACUCCCCCAGCUUCUGGGAUUGCUGCCAUGGCAGUCAGCUGUCAGCUCACUUUGGGGAAUGCCUGGCUGAAGAAAGCUUCUGGGGCAAGCCUGUGUCCAAUAACUGACAACAGGGAUUAUUAGGGCCCAGGCCCCUCACCUCAACUGACACCCAGCUCCAUACCUCAGGUUUAUCCCAAGUGCAUGCUCUAACAACUAAUGUUCUGCAUGCUAAUCUCCAUCUCAGAGUCUGCUCCCCAGAGAACCCAACCUGCAACUACAAUAUGCCUUGUAUGGGACUUAUUUGCAUUCAUCAUGUUGGACAAUCAUUGGGCACCAUAUUAUUCAUUGCUAAUGUUUACUGCCAUAAGUAUGAUGGUAUUAUUGCCAUUUUAGAGAUGCAGAAACUCAAGCUAUGGAAGCUAAAUAAUAUGCAUUACAAGAUCACACAAGUAGUAAGUAGCUGAAAUAGGAUUUGAAAUUGGGUCCAUCUGACUGCUAAACCAGUGCAGUGUUGGUUUCUGAAGCAACUGGGGGGUAUUUGGGGCUAUAUACACAGUCCUGGGCCUCUGAGUAAAGAAAGAAGAGCAGGAGGACAUCAGCGCGUGUAGAAACACAGGAGCUGAGGAGACAGCAUGAACCCAGUUACCCACAUUCUCUCAGUGCAAGCCAUUUUGUUUCUGGCAGGAAUAAACUUAUUCUCCUUGUCACAAUGGACUUUGUGUAUUCAGAUACCAUGGCAUCCACUCAAAAGAAAGCUGGGCUUUUCUACAUGAAAGGUUCUGAUAAAUAUUAGAACAAGAACAACAGGGAAAAAAUAAAAGUAAAAUAAAAUGGGGAAACAAAGAUUCUUUCUAAAAGUGCUUUUCUCUUCAGUCAAAAAUUUGCUAUUUAACUUUAUCGCCAGUCAAACUCAUGUGACAUUGGGAAAGUUCCUUCUUCUCUCUGGGCCUCAGUUUGUCCUUUGUAAAAUGAAAGGGUUAAAUUAGAUGAGUCCCGUGAGCUCUUAAAACUUCACGAGUAACACACAUUGCACAAAAUCCCUAUUCCAAGACAUAGCUCUUCAUUCAACAAAUAUUUAAUACCUGCUAUCAGCAAGGCAGUUCUAGGUGCUGGGGGUGUAGCAGUGAGCAAAAACAGACCAAAAUCCUUGUGCUGAAGAACUUGAUAUUGCAAUAGAAUACUUACAUAGUGCUUAUCUUUGCCAAGCAGCAUUUUAAGCACUUUAAACUUAUAAACUUGUUCAAUCCUCAUGAUAGUCCUAUGAGGUAGGUACUAUUAUCAAUAUCCUUAUUUUACAGUUGAAAAUACAGAAGCACAGAAUAUAAAGUCACGUUAAUGAGUGACAGAACUGAGAUGUGAACCCAGGCAGGCUGGCUCCAGGGUCUAAACUCGUAUGAUAUACUACUCUUCACUCUGGAAAAGUCCAGUGGAACUACUGUCAAAAUUUAUUGGUUUUGAAAUUCUUGCCAAAAGAUAAUGACCUUGUAAAGCUGACAUAAAAGGCCACUUUUGGAACAGUAUGUACUUAGAAGAUUUACAACAGAGAGAAAUAUUUUCUAUUUGAUGUUAAUAGAAAUUUAGAGAUAGAAAUUCUUCUAGUAGUCAAGUAAAAUUCUAAAUAGAAAUGAUAUCCACAUAUCGUUCCCAUUUGAUUGUAUAGCCUAUAAUUAAAACAAAUAUAGUGCCAGCUGGGAGCUUUGAGAAAUUUGUUAAUAUUCUUAAGCUUCUUAUUUUUGGUUUAUAUAGUCCUUGAAACAAUCUGAAGACUAGGAAUAUCCAUCUUCUCCUUAUUUUAUAGAAGACAACUAAUAAUUACAAUAUACCAUUUGCUGAUAAUACCUAGUCACUCACAGAAGAGGGAUCAGUAAGAAAGGAGGAAUGUUCGGGUCCCUGAACCUUCCAGUACAUCCUCUGGUGGUGAUACUGGUUCUGCCCAGCACAUUUGGAUGUCAGGGCAGCCUGGGCAAAUCUCCAGAUUAUUCCCAGUGGGAGUUGGAAAGGCUGGAAGGGCUCUUAGAUAUCAUCUUGUCCAGAUACCCUAUUCUACAAUUGAGGAGGAAACUGAGACUCAGAGAGGAAGGAAAUUAAUGGCAUAUGCAGAGCUAUAGCCCAGGCUUCCUGAUAAAAUGACCAACCAUCCCAGCUUUCCCAGGACUGAGGGGUUUCCCAGAAUGUGGGACUUGCAGUGUUAAAAUCAGUAAAAGCCAGUUUGAAUUGAUCAAUCUACAUCUUGGUUUUGGCUGUCCAGUCUCUUUUAAGUAUCUACAGGGGUCCCAAGCUCAGGAAGAGCCGCCUUCUUUCUGUUGAUGGGUCCCUUUCGAGUUUUACGCAGAACCAAACAUUUCUGUGAAACUCCGCUGCCAUCCCCUUUCUCACCAAAUGGGGUCCUGACUUCCCAAACAAUACCAUCACCUUUCUCCCCAUUCACGAAGGCUAGAAAAUGCUGAGAUUGGGGGUGGGGAUGGGGGACAAUGAGAGAGAAAAGUAGAUUAAGUACUGAGACAUAGUAGUCUUGAAACAGAUAGUCUUGAGAGAGAUCUCUCAUUCUUUCUUGCCUCUGAAUUCAUUGUACACACACCAGUAAGAAUAAUCUUUUAAAAAUGUAAGUCAGCUAACCACCACUCCACACCUACAUUAAAAACCCUGCAAUGAAAAAAAAAUUAAUUUUUAAAAACCCUGCAAUGACUUUCCAUUGCACUUAGACUAGGGCCCCAUGCCUUCCUCAGUUUCUUUCUCCUGGACUCUCUCCUGAACUUGUCAAAGUUCUCUGAGCAUUUGCCCUUGGGGUUCCUCUGCCUAGGACCCUUCUCCCCCUCUCUUUGCAUGGUUUACUUCUUGUCCUUCAGGUCUUUAGGAUGGGUUGUAUAGUGUGUGGAUAAAACUGUUAAAAAAAUAAA